UUCGCCCUUACAGUUACCUUGUUACGACUUCACCCCAGUUAUCGGUCCCACCUUCGACAGCUCCCUCCAUUUGGUUGGGUCACCGGCUUCGGGCGUUACUGACUCCCAUGGUGUGACGGGCGGUGUGUACAAGACCCGGGAACGUAUUCACCGCGACAUUCUGAUUCGCGAUUACUAGCGAUUCCAGCUUCAUGUAGUCGAGUUGCAGACUACAAUCCGAACUGAGACGUUAUUUUUGGGAUUUGCUCACAUUCACAUGUUCGCUUCCCUUUGUUUACGCCAUUGUAGCACGUGUGUAGCCCUGGUCAUAAAGGGCAUGAUGAUUUGACGUCAUCCCCACCUUCCUCCAGGUUGUCCCUGGCAAUCUCUCUAGAGUGCCCACCUUACGUGCUGGCUACUAAAGAUAAAGGUUGCGCUCGUUGCGGGACUUAACCCAUCAUCUCACGACACGAGCUGACGACAACCAUGCACCACCUGUCU
rnacentral:rRNA from 1 species